rnacentral:lncRNA from 1 species
UGAGUACUUCAGUUAUCCUCCCUUUUAAUUAUAUAUAUAUUUUUAAUUUUUAAUCAAAUAAAAAUAUAUAAAAAACCAAGAAAAUUUCAAAAAAUUCAACAUGAGGAUCGUAUUUCUUGCCUUCCCAAGAAGUGACAAGUACAAUGACGCCUAUUUGGCAAGAGUUCAUAUUUUCCAUUUGCUAUUUGUUAUUUAAAAUUCUCAAUUCGAUUUACAAGUCCGUCGAUGCCUUUUUUUAGCAUUUUGUGUGAGGAUGAAACUAUUAUUUCUUCCUCUUUGGAACAUUUGCAUACGGUCAUUAGCAUCUAGAAUAUUGCUGUAUUUGACACAAGAAGAUUAUAGAAGACAAGAAAUUUUGUUUCUUUUCGUGCAAAGUACAAUCUAAUAUUAAUGCCCUUGUUUGAACCUCAUUUUGGAGGAUAGAAUGAAUUUUUGAAUAGUGUAUUGAUGUGAAAUGUGUAGUUAAAAAAUAAGAAAACGUUUUAGAUUUGUGUGUAAUAUUAUUUUAUUGAAAAAUGUGUGGUGAAAAUGAUGUCAAAACACUGUUGAAAAAUACAUUUUUACAAAAAAAAAAUGGGGAUCAAACAAGGGCAUUAUGCAUCAAAUAUACCGUUAAAGUACAGUGUACGUCAAUCAAAUAUUAGAAAAUCAAACUAUCAUAUCACAGCACGAGAAUACCAAAAAUAUGUUCAUGUUUGUAUCACUGAACAAGGAUUCAUUAUCGACUCACUACAGAAUUCAAAAACGUCAUCAAAAAGGCUGAACCAAUCCUAAAUUCAAAGAGCUUCAAGUUGGUAAACAAACCAAGAAGACAAUUUUUAACUCAAAAAUCUUUCAAGAAAUCGUUCUCUAACAAUAGAAAAGAUAAUGGUCGAUACAGGUUCUAAAUGGAAAAUUAAACAUCAGCAAGAUUGUGUACAAUAUAUCAGCACAAGAUGUAUAUGUCAACUCGUUUUACUCAUUCAAAGAUAAUUUGACACUAAUAUAUCUCGUUUUUGGAUUACCCAAGUAAAAAACUUGUUUUUUGAAAGAAUUUUUCACAUCACAAACAAGAAAUAUAAUAAGUUCGAAACUUGAACAAGAUGAGCAUCUUGCUAAUUAUUUAAGCAAGACACCAGCUUUGCAGCUUUAGAUGGUAAUAAGUCAAAAGGUACCAAACAAGACCCAGGCAAUAGUAGUUUACAUUCAUCUAAUCUCUAUAGUUUUAACCAGUCUGCUAGGAAUUUGGUCGAUCUGAGUCAUCCUCCCCACAAAUAAAUGUUUUAACUUAUUAGCUGCUACAUUUAUAUGCACCCUAAUCAAAUGCUAGUUCAAGAUUUAAGUA